UAAUACGGAGGAUGCAAGCGUUAUCCGGAUUUAUUGGGUUUAAAGGGUGCGUAGGCGGGAGAUUAAGUCAGUGGUGAAAUCCUGCAGCUCAACUGUAGAACUGCCAUUGAUACUGGUUUCCUUGAGUGUAGUUGAAGUGGGCGGAAUGUGUAUUGUAGCGGUGAAAUGCUUAGAUAUUACACAGAACACCUAUUGCGAAGGCAGCUCACUAAACUAAUACUGACGCUGAGGCACGAAAGCGUGGGGAGCAAACAGGAUUAGAUACCCUGGUAGUCCACGCCGUAAACGUUGAUUACUCGAUGUGUGCGAUACACUGUACGCGUCUGAGCGAAAGCAUUAAGUAAUCCACCUGGGGAGUACGGUCGCAAGAUUG
rnacentral:rRNA from 1 species